rnacentral:rRNA from 1 species
AUGGCCAUGAUACAUCCCAGGAGACUUGCUCAGUUGGUGAGGAAGUGGCAAAAGGUCAAGCACCCCUCCAGUGAUGACAAAGCAUGCUGCACAACAUCACCGAUUGCAGACAAAGGGCACUGCACCAUGUACACAGCCGAUGGAAGGCGGUUCGAGGUCCCCUUGACGUACCUCGACACGACGCUCUUCGGCGAGCUGCUAAGGAUGUCCCAGGAGGAGUUUGGGUUUGCAUGUGACGGCAGGAUCACACUGCCCUUCGAUGUGGCAGUGAUGGAAUAUGCCAUGUGCUUGCUCAGAAGAAAUGCAUCGGAGGAAGUAGAGAGCGCGUUCCUGAGCUCUGUAGUGACGCCUUGCCAAUAUACAAGCUGUACGGCGCCACCUGCAUCGCUGCACCAGCAGCUUGCAGUUUGUAGCUCCUGA